GAGAAGGACGGCAUCCCGUGGGAGGGACCCCACGUGGAGCAGGGGAAGAAAGGGACUGUGAAGGAGCUGUGGAGAUGAAGUGUUAGGGACUGACCGCAGUCCCCACUCCCUGUUCCCCUGCACUGCCUGGGGGGAGCAGAACUGUGUAGGAUGGGGGAGAAGGUGUUUUUAGUUUGCUUUUAGUUUCUCACUUUUCUAGUCUACUAGUGAUAGGAAAAAAAUUACAUUAAUCUCCCUAUGCUGAGUUUAUUUUGCCCGUGAUGAUUACUGUUGAGUGAUCUCCCUGUCCUUAUCUCAACCCUUGAGCCCUUUCCAUUGUAUUUUCUCCCCCAUUCCCUUUGAAGAGUGGAAGUGAGAGAGUGAUUGUGGUAGAGUUCAGCUGCGUAGUAGGGUAAAACUACCACAUAUGCUAGCACAUUUUAUAUUGGAUAUGAUCAUCACUAUAAUUUUAGGCCAAAAUUGAUACAAACGGUCUUUGCAUAAACAUAAAGAUUGCUUUAAUGUUGCUUUAUAUAUUCUAGCUCAUUUAACAGAAAUGAUAUUGAAUGUUCAUACCUGUUCUGGAGUAGUUGCACAUGGAUUUUUAUUUUGUCAUAUAAGUCUUAGUAAAAAGAUAAUAUUCCUCAUUAACCUAAACUAUCCUGAUAUAGUUGCAAUUUUGACAAGAUAUCAAUCAUGAAUUGUUUUACCUUUGUCUCUGAGGAGCCAAAGGCUGAAAUGGUAUGUCCUUCACUGGUCUGGUAGAUACAACAAAACAUUUUUCAACCCUUGUUUACUCUGAAUUUACACAUACGGUACGCUCUCCUGCUUUUGAUGUCUCUUAAUGUCAAAAGUUUCCCACUUGAGUAUCCCAGACAUAUGCAGAAAUAUCUUCUCAGAAACAAUCAUUUCUCAAGUACCAGGUGCAAAUCUUCAGUUUGAGCCUAAGAAGAUUCUCAGCUCCCAGACAGGUAACAAAACAGUGAUUUUUGCCUUCAUUCACCAAGAGUUACAUCACACACAAGUAUUUUUGAGCAUUGAUUUUUUCAUCCUGUCAGGUGCUCUUAGGAAUACACUCAGAACACCAGCCUCCCUACAGUGCAAUCAUUUUGAUUGUAGAAAAUGAGUGGAGGAAUCUCUAGCAGUUUGACUCACUGCACAAGGUGAUAGGUAGGCCAAUCAGCUAUUGAGCCACAAACGAAAAAGCUUCUUGAAAGACUGUGAUUGCAACAAUGGAAUCUGGGACGUUCUUGUCCAUAUCUGUUCAUCAGGACUAAAAACAUGCAGAAAGCAAAGACAGCAAGAGUGAAAAGCUGGAGAAAUAAUCAUGAAGGAACUCAUGGCUGCUAUGUAACUGCAUACACUGCAGGGUCAAGUUUAAAAAUUACUGACAGGGAACUGCCUCCUGAUACAUGAACCUAUGAUAUUCAGAGAAAUUGAACUAGAAUUGGACUGUUACUUACAGAUAAAGACAUGAAAAAGAAAAAGAAAAAAAAGAAAAAAGAAAAGAAAAAAGGGAAGGGAAGGGAAGGGAAGGGAA
rnacentral:lncRNA from 1 species